rnacentral:lncRNA from 1 species
GGAAGACACCAGAGCUGUCCCUCUCUCGGCUUGCACUAAGGAGGAGGUCACGUGAGCACACAGUGAGAAGGCGGAGGACCAUCUGCAAGCAGGAAGAGAGCCCUCGCUAGAACCCCCCACGGUGGCAUCUGAUAGUGGACUUCUAGCUUCCAGAACUGAACUCAUAAAUGUCACAUCAGGCUGCCUCUUGGUGAAUUUUUAAUCAACGGGGAGAAUUUCAGCUACAAAUAGACCAAGAAUCAAGAGGCCCACUAUUGAUCGGUCAAAGUGGCACUUAUGAACCUGAGGUUGAAGCAGUUUGGAUAAAAGGAUUCUGGGCUUUCGAUGGCCCCAGAGACAUCUUUUUCCAUCAAGUCCAGUAAGAUCACUCCGGCUAUUACAUGGAGGGUGGACUGAAGGAACAAGGACAGGGAACAGGAAUGGCAGUAAAGAAACCAGGAGACUAUUGAGAUGAUCCUGACAAGAAAUGGCAACUUGGACUACGGCAGUGGCAAUAGAGCUCAUCCCUUUCCCCACAUCUCAGCAUGAUAUAACAAGAGUUGCCUGGGGCCUCAUGGCCCAAUGGGGCCCAGGCCUCAAAUAAAUCUGCAGAGAAGUCUUGCAGCCUGUUGGCACCUGGGCACGGGAGAUUCCAAGAUGAAUUGGGUCCUAUCCUUGAGGAGACCAUACAUGUUAGGGAGGUUGUUGGAUACAUGAGCAGAUACAACACAUGGCAGAACGUGUUGGAUGGAGGCUGAGCACCGGCUUGCUGAUCGGUACAGCUGAGAACAUGUUGAAUUUGAUGUGCCUGUGGAUAUUUGAGUCUGGAACAUUGAAGACAAGUUUGGUCUGGAGAUGUAGACUGGGGAUAUCUCAGCACACAGAUGAUAACUGAAAUGAUGGAGCGGAUGAUAUAAACUGGAGAGAGUCUGGUGUGGGAAGAGUCUUCCCUGAGGUGGCCGAAAGAUGUAAUUCUUACUCCAAAGACUGAAAUAGAGACAAGAGAAGCUGAAGUUACAGGGUUUUGUCAUUGGGAAGACAGUAGAGUGUGUCAUAUCCCAAGAGUGAAGCAAGGACAAACCAAAGAACAACUGGGAAGAUCUGGGAGAAAAAGGGGUCUUACUUUGUUGCCAAGGCUGGCUUCAAACUCCUGACUUCAAGAGAUCCUCCCACCCCACCCACCCAAAGUGCUGGGAUUACAGGUGUGCGCCACUGUGCCUAGCGGGUCAUCAGUCUUUGAGAUGCUGUUGACAAAGCCAUUUGAUGAUAUCAAAGAA